GAUGAAGAACGUAGCAAAAUGCGAUACUUGGUGUGAAUUGCAGAAUCCCGUGAACCAUCGAGUUUUUGAACGCAAGUUGCGCCCGAAGCCUUUUGGCUGAGGGCACGUCUGCCUGGGCGUCACGCAUCGCGUCGCCCCCCAUAAUUCUCCGUAAAGGGAACAUGUGUUUUGGGGGCGGAUAUUGGUCUCCCGUGCUCAUGGCGUGGUUGGCCGAAAUAGGAGUCCUUUCGAUGGACGCACGAACUAGUGGUGGUCGUAAAAACCCUCGUCUUUUGUUUCGUGCUGUUGCUCGCAAGGUAAACUCUUUAAAAACCCCAAUGUGUCGUCUCUUGACGACGCUUCGACCGCGACCCCAGGUCAGGCGGGACUACCCUCUGAGUUUAAGCAUAUCAAUAAGCGGAGGA
rnacentral:misc_RNA from 1 species